UCACUUUGUAGCCCAGGCUGGCCUCAAACUCACAGUGAUCCUCCUGCCUCAGCCUCCUGAGUGCUGGGAU
rnacentral:miRNA from 1 species